rnacentral:rRNA from 1 species
GACGAACGCUGGCGGCGUGCCUAAUACAUGCCAGUCGAGCGGACGGAUGGGAGCUUGCUCCCAGACCGUCAGCGGCGGACGGGUGAGUAACACGUGGGCAACCUGCCUGUAAGACUGGGAUAACUCCGGGAAACCGGGGCUAAUACCGGAUAACUCUUUCCCUCACAUGAGGGAAAGCUGAAAGAUGGCAUCUCGCUAUCACUUACAGAUGGGCCCGCGGCGCAUUAGCUAGUUGGUGAGGUAACGGCUCACCAAGGCGACGAUGCGUAGCCGACCUGAGAGGGUGAUCGGCCACACUGGGACGGAGACACGGCCCAGACUCCUACGGGAGGCAGCAGUAGGGAAUCUUCCGCAAUGGACGAAAGUCUGACGGAGCAACGCCGCGUGAGUGAUGAAGGUUUUCGGAUCGUAAAACUCUGUUGUCAGGGAAGAACAAGUACCGGAGUAACUGCCGGUACCUUGACGGUACCUGACCAGAAAGCCACGGCUAACUACGUG